rnacentral:rRNA from 1 species
CACGUAGGCGGCUUUUUAAGUCGGGGUGAAAUCCUGGAGCUCAACUCCAGAACUGCCUUCGAUACUGGAAAGCUCGAGUCCGGGAGAGGUGAGUGGAACUGCGAGUGUAGAGGUGAAAUUCGUAGAUAUUCGCAAGAACACCAGUGGCGAAGGCGGCUCACUGGCCCGGUACUGACGCUGAGGUGCGAAAGCGUGGGGAGCAAACA